rnacentral:tRNA from 2 species
GGCCUCUUAGCUCAGUAGUAGAGCGACAGGUCCCGGUUCUGGUAGUGCACGAUCACUAAUCGUCCGAUUCCUGUAGGUCGCGGGUUCAAUCCCCGUAGGGGUCU